UUACGGGCAUAUUCACAUUGAAACAGCUGUUCUCUUACAAUCACCGAAGUUAAGCAACUUCGAGCCUGGUCAGUACUAAGAUGGGUGACUGCUAGGGAACACCGGGUGUUGAAA